rnacentral:rRNA from 1 species
CCCUUAGACGUUCUGGGCCGCACGCGCGCUACACUGACCAGUGCAACAAGCAUCCGUCCUUGGCCGACAGGCUCGGGCAAUCUUUGAACGCUGGUCGUGAUGGGGAUAGACUUUUGCAAUUUUUGGUCUUCAACGAGGAAUUCCUAGUAAACGCAAGUCAUCAACUUGCAUUGAUUACGUCCCUGCCCUUUGUACACACCGCCCGUCGCACCUACCGAUUGAAUGGUCCGGUGAAGCGUUCGGACCGUGGCCUUUGGACGGUUCGCCGUCUGUUGGCUGCGGGAAGUUCGUUAAACCUUAUCAUUUAGAGGAAGGAGAAGUCGUANCA